CAGCAGCCUGCCGACGCGAAGACGGUGCUGUCUCCGGUCACAAGGUCUUAAAGCAAUGCGUGAUCUUUCAGUGCUGAUCACUAAACUGUGUGCCGUCCUCGGUAUUCUGUGCUUGGUCGAUGGUGCGGUGAGAGAUAGCGUAUGUGCAGUGAUCCUGUCGGGGCCGCGAUUACAGUACAGUCCUCGACGCCUUCCCGAUGUAUAUGGGUUGAAGACAGCAUUGAGAAGACGGAUGAGGACAAUGGCAUUGAAGAUUUUGCCCGGAAAUCUUCUGGGGCAAGGCGAAGUUUGCAGCCCCUUCGAAGCCGUGAUUGAUGAGCCAAAACAAACCUGUACGUUCACAGGCUCGCACCCCAGCAAGUCAACCAAAACAAGGCUGGUGGAUAUUCCAUUCACAGCAGUACGAAAAAGGAACCAAACAUUCUACGCGUAGAGAGCGCACAAAUGGUGGGGCGCGAAGAGGGACCAAGUGAUGUGGAAGCUAGGUGACCUUUCUUUUCUGACGAAAAGAAAUAUAAAUUGCAGACUGAAUAACGAAAUCGUCUUUAACGAGGAAUAAAAUAUAAAACGCAA